GAUGAACGCUGGCGGCGUGCCUAAUACAUGCAAGUCGAGCGAACAGACGAGGAGCUUGCUCCUCUGACGUUAGCGGCGGACGGGUGAGUAACACGUGGAUAACCUACCUAUAAGACUGGGAUAACUUCGGGAAACCGGAGCUAAUACCGGAUAAUAUAUUGAACCGCAUGGUUCAAUAGUGAAAGACGGUUUUGCUGUCACUUAUAGAUGGAUCCGCGCCGCAUUAGCAAGUUGGUAAGGUAACGGCUUACCAAGGCAACGAUGCGUAGCCGACCUGAGAGGGUGAUCGGCCACACUGGAACUGAGACACGGUCCAGACUCCUACGGGAGGCAGCAGUAGGGAAUCUUCCGCAAUGGGCGAAAGCCUGACGGAGCAACGCCGCGUGAGUGAUGAAGGUCUCCGGAUCGUAAAACUCUGUUAUUAGGGAAGAACAAAUGUGUAAGUAACUAUGCACGUCUUGACGGUACCUAAUCAGAAAGCCACGGCUAACUACGUG
rnacentral:rRNA from 1 species